rnacentral:lncRNA from 1 species
UGAGAUUAUUUUUCAAUCUUAAGCAGACGAGAUGAUUGCAGCACCAGCAAUAAAUAUGGCUGGAAUUGAUACCUUCUUAAAGUUUAAUGAGGGCGAAAAUUUCAAACUGUCGGAGGAAGGAGUAUUUGAAACAUGUGGAUGCGGAGAACGUCAGCUUUCUUGAACCCAUCUGCUAGCUUCGGCAUUCGAAAGAUAGGGC